CGGACGGGUGAGUAAUGUCUGGGAAACUGCCUGAUGGAGGGGGAUAACUACUGGAAACGGUAGCUAAUACCGCAUAACGUCGCAAGACCAAAGAGGGGGACCUUCGGGCCUCUUGCCAUCGGAUGUGCCCAGAUGGGAUUAGCUAGUAGGUGGGGUAACGGCCCACCUAGGCGACGAUCCCUAGCUGGUCUGAGAGGAUGGCCAGCCACACUGGAACUGAGACACGGUCCAG
rnacentral:rRNA from 1 species